UGCAGCCAGAACACACCUUGUUGAAGUUCGUCGCGGGCUUUGUCUUGGGCAGGAUGACGGUGAUCUUCGCGGACAUCGCG
rnacentral:ribozyme from 1 species